GACGAACGCUGGCGGCGUGCUUAACACAUGCAAGUCGUACGGUAAGGCCCUUUCGGGGGUACACGAGUGGCGAACGGGUGAGUAACACGUGAGUAACCUGCCCACAACUUUGGGAUAACGCUAGGAAACUGGGGCGAAUACUGGAUAUGUGCUCCUGCUGCAUGGGGGGGGGUGGAAAGCUCCGGCGGUUGUGGAUGGACUCGCGGCCUAUCAGCUUGUUGGUGGGGUAGUGGCCUACCAAGGCGGCGACGGGUAGCCGGCCUGAGAGGGUGACCGGCCACAUUGGGACUGAGAUACGGCCCAGACUCCUACGGGAGGCAGCAGUGGGGAAUAUUGCACAAUGGGCGCAAGCCUGAUGCAGCAACGCCGCGUGCGGGAUGACGGCCUUCGGGUUGUAAACCGCUUUCAGCAGGGACGAAGCUUUUUGUGACGGUACCUGCAGAAGAAGCACCGGCUAACUACGUG
rnacentral:rRNA from 1 species